rnacentral:rRNA from 1 species
UUACGGGAGGCAGCAGUGGGGAAUCUUGCGCAAUGGGCGAAAGCCUGACGCAGCAACGCCGCGUGUGUGAUGAAGGUCUUCGGAUCGUAAAGCACUGUCGCGAGGGACGAAUAAGGGCCGGGUUAACAGCCCGGCACGAUGACGGUACCUCGAGAGGAAGCACCGGCUAACUCUGUGCCAGCAGCCGCGGUAAUACAGAGGGUGCAAGCGUUGUUCGGAAUUAUUGGGCGUAAAGCGCGUGUAGGCGGCUUGGCAAGUCGGAUGUGAAAGCCCUCGGCUUAACCGAGGAAGUGCGUUCGAAACUGCCUGGCUUGAGUACCGGAGAGGGUGGCGGAAUUCCCGGUGUAGAGGUGAAAUUCGUAGAUAUCGGGAGGAACACCAGCGGCGAAGGCGGCCACCUGGACGGAUACUGACGCUGAGACGCGAAAGCGUGGGUAGCAAACAGGAUUAGAUACCCCGGU